AUUAUGAUGGCUGUAGGAGCUGUGCCUCUCAAUGAACAACCAUAUUCCCCAUUGGUGAGUAGCAGUGGGUCUGCUGCAAACAUGAAAGACAAGACAUUUAAACUGAAGGAGAAGUCUUACAACAGUGGACAUUGUAUCAGUCCAGGAUCACUGACACUAUCCUGGCAAUGGCUUGCCCAUCCUCCGAUCUCCUCCAGAAGUACCACAUCAUUGACCAGUUCUUCA